UAAAAUGUUAACUUAUUACUUAUUAAUCAUUUAUGAAUGUAUAGUCAUGUUUUGUAAAUGAUUAGCUCAUCAUUAACUAAUAAUUUAUAAAUGACUUAUAACAGAACGUUAUUAUAAAGUGUUACCGAACUUUUUCACAAUAUGCUAAUUUUUUGAGAAGGACCUGUAAGUUCAUGAUCAUAAAACUAGUGAUUAUUCUGAUAUGACUAUUUGAUUAGUCAGGUAAAAAUGUACCAUGCCAAUUGCAUAAUUAAACAAUGAGAAUCCAAUUCAGAAUUAAAUUCAGUUCCAACUGAGAUAAAUACAUAACAUCAAUUGCUUAAAGAUGAAUAUAAGAGUUCUAGUGCAGCGCUCCAGAGACUGACUCUCUCUCUCUCUCUCUCUCUCUCUCUCUCCUUUUCUAUUCUAUAUGUUUCUAUAGGGGAAGUUGUGGCCUAGUGGUUAGAGAGUUGACUCCUAACCUAAGGUUGUGGGUUCGAAGUCUCGGGCCGGCAAUACCAUGACUGGGGUGUCCUUGAGCAAGGCACCGAACCCCCAACCUGCUCCCUGGACGCUGCAGCAUAAAUGAUACCCACUGCUCCGGGUGUGUGUUCACGGUGUGUGUGUGUGUGUGUGUGUUCACUGCUGUGUGUGGAUGGGUUAAAUGCAGAGCACUAAUUCUGAGUAUGGGUCACCAUACUUGGCUGUAUGUCACGUCACAUAUCACCAGAACAAAGAAAUCUUCAAUAAAGGUAAUAAAAAUACCUUUUGGUUUGUUAGGAUCUCGUGACCCAAGAGUCACACCUGGCCGGAGAAGGGAAAACAUUAUCACAGACCCUGAGGAACCCACCCCUCAGCAACAGAACCAAAUUCUUGUUUUCAAGUUGGAGUUGCUGUAUCGAUGCUCUUGUAAAGCACACCGCACACAUCUCACCUUCAAAGAAAACUGCAUUUCACAGCAUUUUCUUACACCUAUCAUAUUCUAUGAUUAUCUCCACAUUUGAACAUGACCACAGUGCACCUGUUUCUCUCGCUCUCUGUUUCUGCACAGCAUGUGAGCCCGCACAUGGCUCUAUGUGUCGGCCGUGAAGCCGUCUCAGUCCUCACGCUCCGUUAGUCUCGGCCGGUGACAGCUUCCUGUGCAAAGCAGAAGGCUGGAAACCACUUUGUUUUAAAAACUCCUGCGGAGUGGGGUGAGUGUUUGCAGACGUGCUGAUUUUGCUGUCAUAAAUGGUGACGGAUUGGCUCUUGAGUAUUACGUUAUGCACAGACAACUGAAUGUAAUGUUUAUUGCUUUGAUAAACCGUUAGAUCUAGAGUUCAGUCUGUAGAGAAUUCACUCACUCCCAAAUCACAUUGAUCAUGCCGAUUAAAAAGUCCAAAAAAUA
rnacentral:lncRNA from 1 species